rnacentral:rRNA from 1 species
CCUACGGGGGGCUGCAGUGAGGAAUAUUGGUCAAUGGGCGCGAGCCUGAACCAGCCAAGUAGCGUGAAGGAUGACGGCCCUACGGGUUGUAAACUUCUUUUAUAAAGGAAUAAAGUGAGGCACGUGUGCCGUUUUGUAUGUACGUUAUGAAUAAGGAUCGGCUAACUCCGUGCCAGCAGCCGCGGUAAUACGGAGGAUCCGAGCGUUAUCCGGAUUUAUUGGGUUUAAAGGGAGCGUAGAUGGGUUGUUAAGUCAGUUGUGAAAGUUUGCGGCUCAACCGUACAAUUGCAAUUGAUACUGGCAGUCUUGAGUACAGUUGAGGUAGGCGGCCUUCGUGUUGUAGCGG